rnacentral:rRNA from 1 species
UACGUAGGGUGCGAGCGUUGUUCGGAAUCACUGGGCUUAAAGGGCGCGUAGGCGGGCUGCCAAGUCCGGGGUGAAAGCCCCCCGCUCAACGGGGGAACGGCCUUGGAUACUGGCGGCCUGGAGGAAGGUAGGGGCAGAUGGAACUCUCGGUGGAGCGGUGAAAUGCGUAGAUAUCGGGAGGAACGCCGGUGGCGAAAGCGAUCUGCUGGACCUUUUCUGACGCUGAGGCGCGAAAGCCAGGGGAGCAAACGGG